rnacentral:rRNA from 1 species
AUUGAACGCUGGCGGCAUGCCUUACACAUGCAAGUCGAACGGUAACGCGGGGCAACCUGGCGACGAGUGGCGAACGGGUGAGUAAUGUAUCGGAACGUGCCCAGUUGUGGGGGAUAACUGCUCGAAAGAGCAGCUAAUACCGCAUACGACCUGAGGGUGAAAGCGGGGGAUCGCAAGACCUCGCGCAAUUGGAGCGGCCGAUAUCAGAGUAGGUAGUUGGGGGGGUAAAGGCGCACCAAGCCGACGAUCGGUAGCUGGUCUGAGAGGACGACCAGCCACACUGGGACUGAGACACGGCCCAGACUCCUACGGGAGGCAGCAGUGGGGAAUUUUGGACAAUGGACGCAAGUCUGAUCCAGCCAUGCCGCGUGCGGGAAGAAGGCCUUCGGGUUGUAGACCGCUUUUGUCAGGGAAGAAAAGGCUCCUUCUAAUAUAGGGGGCUCAUGACGGUACCUGAAGAAUAAGCACCGGCUAACUACGUGCCAGCCGCCGCAGUAA